UGGGGAAUAUUGGGCAAUGGGCGAAAGCCUGACCCAGCAACGCCGCGUGAGUGAUGAAGGCCUUCGGGUUGUAAACUUCUUUGAUCAGGGAAGAAACAAAUGACGGUACCUGAAAAACAAGCCACGGCUAACUACGUGCCAGCAGCCGCGGUAAUACGUAGGUGGCGAGCGUUAUCCGGAUUUACUGGGUGUAAAGGGCGUGCAGGCGGGCUGAUAAGUCAGAUGUGAAAUCCCCGAGCUUAACUCGGGAACUGCAUCUGAUACUGUUGGUCUUGAGUGCUGGAGAGGAUAGUGGAAUUCCUAGUGUAGCGGUAAAAUGCGCAGAUAUUAGGAGGAACACCAGUGGCGAAGGCGGCUAUCUGGACAGUAACUGACGCUGAGGCGCGAAAGCGUGGGUAGCAAACAGG
rnacentral:rRNA from 1 species